rnacentral:rRNA from 1 species
UACAGAGGGUGCGAGCGUUAAUCGGAAUUACUGGGCGUAAAGCGCACGUAGGUGGCGACGUAAGUCGGGUGUGAAAGCCCCGGGCUCAACCUGGGAAUUGCAUUCGAGACUGCAUUGCUGGAGUACGGAAGAGGAAGGCGGAAUUCCCGGUGUAGCGGUGAAAUGCGUAGAUAUCGGGAGGAACAUCAGUGGCGAAGGCCGGCCUUCUGGUCCAGUACUGACACUCAAGUGCGAAAGCGGUGGGGAGCAAACAGG